rnacentral:lncRNA from 1 species
CUUGAGUUAUUUUAAACUCACAUAAAAUAAUUUUAUAAAGAGUCACAAUUCAAACCCCCCCUUUCUUGUGAUAUUUAUUGCUACUUCACAUUAUACUUCAUAUCAAUGAUACUAUUGUGAAAUUCAUAUUUCACAGUAGCAACCUCCCCUUGUAUUGCUUCAGUCAAUCCCUCAACUAAAUUUUGUAGCGUGUUAACUUCGUCUUCCAAAAUACUCAUUCUUGCAUCUCCAUAAGGAUCAAUAGUUUCUACUCUUUUUUUUCAUCAACAUCAUCUGCUAUUGGUUCACACCAACCCACCCAUUUGCAUUUAUUUUGCUUACAUGAAUAAAAUGAUUGAUUUGGGUUUUGCUUACUCAUAGAAACCUUGAUAUCUGAAACAAAUUAACAAUGGUAAUCCAUGUUUGAGUAUCAGAUCCAACUCUCUCUUGAAACAUUGCCACUCUUGCAAGACGACGCCAUUUCCAGUUACUCCUUCAACCAGAUUCUAAUCUAUAAAAAUUUAAAAUCACAAACGUUUAAUUAGAUGCAAAAUUUGUUUUUUUUUAAACUUAUAAUUAACAAUAACGAUUUGGGGAUUGUUAAGAUGAAAUAUACAGUUUAUUUAUGCAAAGUGACCUUUUAUGACCAACAGAAUGUAAGUCUAAGAAAUUAAAUUUGAGUCAAAUAAAUAUAGAAAAGAGAAAGAAGGAGGCAAACUUAACUGAGCGAUUUUAUCUUCACCACUUAUUAAACUCAGCGUCGUUGUGGUGCGGAGAAGACGAGAACACACGCGUACGUGGUGUGACGAAGAAGAGAAGUCGUCGUAUGUAGGUGGUUGUUGCAGUGAGGAGGUAAAGUAUUUAAGUCAUUCUCGAUUUAGGGUUAAGAUGAAUGAGGAACUGAAGUUGAUUUGGGAUAAAUUUUAACUGGAAAAUGAGGACACGUGGGAAGUUAUAUACCAGAGUAAGAGGAGGGAAGUGAAAUUAGUGAGAGAGAAAUACUUACCAAAAAACAAAAAAAAUCUUAAUUAGUAUUUUGAUCUUUAAAAGAUAUUUUUGGUUUAACAUUGCUCUCUUAAAAAACAAAAGGCCACAUAAGACUUAAGAACUCCAGUUUAAGUUAAUCUUGAGUCGGGAUGCUUAACAUCGAAGAUUCAGUUAAUCCAAAGCCACAUAAGACUUAAGAACCAUAGUUUAAGUUAAUGUGCGAGAGCACAAGUUCGACUAUAAGGAUCGGGUGGAGAAGGAAUACGUGUUACUAUUUUAUUUACACCGGUGAGGGAUAAUUAAUUGCUCCCUCACCUUAGAUGCCACCAAAUAUUAAACAGAUUUUUGCAUAUAAAAUAAACUAAUAUUUCAUAGAAAUACUACAUUAAUGUAGGUAUUUUGAAAAUACUCACAAGUUUUUAAAUUGUUUAUCAUAGCUACUUUAUCCAGUCGAGACAUAAAUUUUUCUUCCAAAUGCACGUAAAAUUAGUACUCAACGAGCACAUUAUAAAUAUUCAACGAAUUUUUGCAUAUAAAAUAAAUCAUUAUUUCAUAAAAAUACUAUAUUAAUAUUUUUGGUAUUUUGAAAAUAUUCACGAGUUAUUAAACUUUUAACAUAUUAACUUUCUAUAUCAAUUACAAAUUAACAAGACAUAGA